GGUUGGUGUGGCUUCCCAAUUAUAGCCCAUACACAUGGGACAGCCUGGUUGGGGAUCAUAAACAAAUUCUUUUUCAUUUUAUUUUAUUUUUAAAUUCUUUUUACUUUAUUUUUCUUUUUAAUUGAAUAUUAAAAUUGUUUGCUGCAUAAACAACACUGUGAAGAGAGAAGGGGAUAGGAUGAAUAAAUGAGAGAGAUGGAGAGAAUUAUAAAAAAAAAUUGUUCAGUUACUUUUGUAUUAUUUUAUUUUGAGUUUGUGGAGAAAUUGAGGAAAAUAAAAUUAUAAAAAAUGGGGGAAAU
rnacentral:lncRNA from 1 species